rnacentral:lncRNA from 1 species
UAUAUUUAUUCGCAUCAUGGAUUGGUUAUCUAUUUAGAGUAUUGUAAUUGUAAACCAAUUAUACAUCUAAUAAGUUAAAGUUGCUUUAAUAUGAAAAUACCCGUCACCGAAUACAUAAUUUUCGAAGUUCUAUGUUCUGUCACUUCGAGCUUAAUGCGUUAGGGCGAAUUCGACAAACUAUGACGCCUGAAAGAAGGCUCCAAAAAAGUUACAGUAUUGUAAAUGCAGUAAAAUUAUAUUUUUCUACUCUCAUAGUGUAAUAUAUGUCAUCUCUAUAUUGGCGGUGUGCAAGUACUUGGAAGGGAAUUGAGAAACGAUCGUGCGCGAAUAGCGGAGAAAUAUUGCAACUUUCUUAAAUAAUUCAUAUUGUCAAUUGAAAUUGUCAAAUUGACGUACAUUUCAUAUCUACUGUCAUUAAAGAAGAAAAAUUAUAUGUAGCUCCACAAUAUUGAUAUGAUAUGCAAUUAUUAUAUAAAGGUAAAUUUAAUUAAUUGUAUUUUGCUUGCAGUACUGCAUUUUAAUAAUUAAUUUUAUUUACUACAUACAAUUGUUUACGUUUUAAUAACAUAACCUGAAUCUUAUUUUUUCUUCUUAUUGUUUUUUUGGACUAUGGCCUUGACAAUUAUCCAGUAACAAGAACUAAUAUAACUGGCCAAUAUAAUUAAAAGUGCGAAUAAAGUUGCAGAGCGUAGAAACAGGUGUCGCUUUGCCGAACUUGCACGGUUCCAAUAGAGAAAACACCUCAAGGUUAUAAAGCAAAAACGCCAAGACAUUUUCUAAGAAUGAAAUCAAGCAGUAUAUACUUGGCACCAAGUUAUUUUAGAAAAUCUUAAUCUCAAUACUAUUACAAAGUUAUUUAUGGGGCUUUGUAUUUGAAUGAUGUGAUGAAUGAAGUUUCCGGCACAGCUAGCAAUUAAUAAAUUUUAAUCCAUUGUCCCUUUAAAUAUUAUACCUGCUAUUCAGUUUGCUAGUUCAAUCUCAAAAUUGAAGGACGCCAUUCAAAUACAAAUGACUUUGUAAUAGGAUUGAGAUUAAGGUUUUCUAAAAUAAUUUGAUGCCAAGUAUUUAGAAGCCCCUGCUCAAAAAUAUUUACUAACAAAAAUGGUUUGCAUUUUUGGAAUCAUCGUUUACUAAAUUUUUUUCAGUUAGGUAUACUUCUUUAGGUGCGAUUGGGAAAACUGUUGAAGAGUGAAUUUUCGCGAUGCGCGCGCACACCUACAGAAAUAAGCAACAGUCUGAAGUUAGUUGCUUAAUCUUUCAUUUACUUACAUAUUGAAAAUAAACAGUGUGAAAAAAAUAA